rnacentral:piRNA from 1 species
UCUGAGGAUGGUCAAGAAUGUAGUGUAUU